GUGGUUUUGAUUAAUGAACCAAAACAAGUGAAUUUGUGUACAGAAGACAGAAAGAAUUAUAACUCAGAUGGUUGCUUUUAGGUAUUACCAACUUCUGAACAGAAAAUCUUCCUCUCAGCAUUGGGUAAAUUUCAACAGCACGUAGAUUUCUCAUGGGAUGUAUAUACACUUCAACAAUGAAAUGGUAUCUCUAUGUAAGGCUGGUGGGAAGUUCCGUGGAGUUUCUGGAUGCAAAAGAUACCCACCCAUACCUGCACAUACUUUAUAUUUUGGAAGAAAUUUUUUGGAGGAAUAAUUGGAACCCAGUUCUGAAAAACCUGGUCUAUACACUGAACAUUGAAUUCAACAAAUGUGAGUUGUAAUAAUUUCACUUCCAUACCUAAAACCCUUCUAUUCCUCCUUCAACAU
rnacentral:lncRNA from 1 species